rnacentral:rRNA from 1 species
GUGCCAGCAGCUGCGGUAAUACGUAGGGCGCAAGCGUUAUCCGGAAUUAUUGGGCGUAAAGAGCUCGUAGGCGGUUUGUCGCGUCUGCUGUGAAAUCCCGAGGCUCAACCUCGGGCCUGCAGUGGGUACGGGCAGACUAGAGUGCGGUAGGGGAGAUUGGAAUUCCUGGUGUAGCGGUGGAAUGCGCAGAUAUCAGGAGGAACACCGAUGGCGAAGGCAGAUCUCUGGGCCGUAAACUGACGCUGAGGAGCG